CCAAAAGUCUCUAAUAACACCAUAAGAAUCUAGAUUUGUCGCUAGUCGCUUCUUUGAAAUAGAGUCACUAGGUGGGUCUGAAAACUCACUAAAUAUAGCGCCAACAACAACCCACCUGUGAGUAACAUGACUAAUUAACCGCAACCUUACCGGACAUCACUGUUUCAGCUCAGUGCAAUUUCAUGCAUUCACGUUAGCUAAACCCCCCUCCACCAAUUUGGCUACCAUACCGCCGUUAGAUAGGGACUACUUGUCCGAUAAAAGGAAAGAGCUGUGACAGUCAUGAGUGCAGAGCCAAAGCAAUGAGAUGGCACUCACUCUGGCGGUACUGUGAGCUCGACUCACCUGUAGGGUACAAAAGAGAAACACUACACUGAGGUGAAGAUAAAGCACAGCUGUUUUUAACAAGAAUCUAAAGGCGUCAUGGUGACAUGCAGUUGGAACGUUGUGGGACAGGGCGCUGCCAGUGCGUGUGUUGUUUUCCAUCCUCCAGCUUCUCAUCCUCUGUGGUCAUUUGAUGGACAUCCAAGCUCAAGAAAUGGUUCUGCUGCUGAUGCUAAAGCUGUGUGACAAGGACCGACGGAGAAUAAAGAAAUCAUUGUCUUGAUGGAAGGUCCAGUGCUGCCCGAGGCCAUUUUUUUCUGCUGAAAGCCUAAUGUUUUUCUCUUUUCAGCUCAUUUUGUAUCAGUGGUGAUUUUACUCGAA